rnacentral:misc_RNA from 1 species
GGUUUGAUUAUGGCUCAGAUUGAACGCUGGCGGGAUGCUUUACACAUGCAAGUCGAACGGCAGCACGGACUUCGGUCUGGUGGCGAGUGGCGAACGGGUGAGUAAUGUAUCGGAACGUGCCUAGUAGCGGGGGAUAACUACGCGAAAGCGUAGCUAAUACCGCAUACGCCCUUCGGGGGAAAGCGGGGGACCUUCGGGCCUCGCGCACUAUUAGAGCGGCCGAUAUCGGAUUAGCUAGUUGGUGGGGGUAACGGCUCACCAAGCGACGAUCCGUAGCUACAGUUUGAAGACGACCGCCCACACUGAGACCAGACCCAUUCGGCGGGCUCUGGGAGGCAGCAGUGGGGAAUUUUUGGACAAUGGAAACCCUGAUCCAGCCAUCCCGCGUGUGCGAUGAAGGCCUUCGGGUUGUAAAGCACUUUUGGCAGGAAAGAAACGGCACGGGAUAAUACCCGUGCAACUGACGGUACCUGCAGAAUAAGCACCGGUAACUACGUGCCAGCAGCCCAUGAC